GUGUAAUAUUUGAAAACAGCGGUUCUUGUCUGAUUACCGAAGUUAAGCAACGUCGGGCCCGGUUAGUACUUGCAUGUGUGACCGACUGUGAAUGGCAUUCCGUUUUUGUUGCUGACGGUGGUCAAACUGUCAUCGCGAUGAGGCCCUGGGUUCAAAUUCUGUUGCUGCCGUCGGUC
rnacentral:rRNA from 1 species